GACGAACGCUGGCGGCGUGCUUAACACAUGCAAGUCGAGCGGAAAGGCCACUUCGGUGGUACUCGAGCGGCGAACGGGUGAGUAACACGUGAGUAAUCUGCCCUUGGCUUUGGGAUAGCCACCGGAUACGGUGAUUAAUACCGGAUAUGACAACUUCUCGCAUGGGAUGGUGGUGGAUAGUGUUUUCGGCCAGGGAUGGGCCCGCGGCCUAUCAGCUUGUUGGUGGGGUAAUGGCCCCACAAGGCGACGACGGGUAGCCGGCCUGAGAGGGUGCCCGGCCACACUGGGACUGAGACACGGCCCAGACUCCUACGGGAGGCAGCAGUGGGGAAUAUUGCGCAAUGGGCGAAAGCCUGACGCAGCGACGCCGCGUGAGGGAUGACGGCCUUCGGGUUGUAAACCUCUUUCAGUAGGGACGAAGCGCAAGUGACGGUACCUACAGAAGAAGCACCGGCCAACUACGUGCCAGCCGCCGCGGUAAUAC
rnacentral:rRNA from 1 species